GGUUCGAUGAUUUUUGCAGUGGAUUCGGUAAUGGUUUGUUGAUGAAGAUCGAAGCGUGAAUUGAAUGGUUGAAGUUUGUUACUGGUUUUUUGCGUGUUGAUUUCUGAUUCUUUACAGGUUUUCUGUUAUGUAUCGUGAGAGAGAAAUUGAAGAUGAUGAUUGGAGGUAGAAGUGGAAGGUACGAAAGUUGAAGAGUGUUGAAGAGAGAAUUGAUGGAUCCUGUUAUGGUUCAGUUACAGGCGCGAGUCUGAAUGUAAAGUGGAUGUGUGAACGCCAAUCUAUGAUAACUUGACCGUCAUGCUGCACUCGGAAUUAGAAUGGACCGAAUGGCUUUGUGCUAUGGUGCUGAACAUUUUAUUUGACUGUUCAGUUCUCAUGAGGUUGAAUGCUGAACUGGUUUUAUUCUAGAGCUGCGGGGAGUUUGGGCAUGGAUUGUAAUUUGAUGGGGCCAUAUGUCGCAGAGUGAUAUGUAUGUGUGUAUGCUGCAGGGGUGACCUCAAACAAAUGUAUGAUGGAGCAAGGGCUGCGGUUGAUACUCGGUGAAGUUGGGCUGAAUGUUUAACUUGGAGUAUUGCACUGCAUUUGCAAUGUACAGGUAGCCCGUGUAGGUAUACGAUGGCAAGGGGACAUAUUAUGAAGGCGCUCGUUGGCGGAGAUGAAUCACCAUAAUGAGGGAAUCUGAAUUCUCACGAUUGGAGGAUGGCCAAAAGGAAACGAGGAUAGGAUGGAGCAUGGUAACCUGACAUUGCAAAUUGGAUGGAGCAUGGGCAUGAGGAGCAAAGGUGAUGGGAAGUGAUGUAGUUGAAGACUUAGAGACAGUAGGCUUUUAGGACAUUUGUUGGCUUUGAAUGUAAAUUUUUGUAGUUUCUUUGAGAUGUAAUAUAUAAAUUUUUUGUAAUAUAAGAUAGUGUAUCUUGAGCUUGAAAUUGUGAAUGAUGUGGACUUUUGUAAUGGAUAGUUGUAUUUGGACUUGGAAUGUAUGAGCAUUGCUCUUGAAGUUGUAAUGAAACUUGAAAUACUAUGUAAUGUAAUUUGAAUUUGUAUCUUUGUAAUGAAUAUUUGAAUGGAUGUAUGAAUUGGAAUUUGAUAGUAUGUGAUUCAAACACUUGAAUGAUGAUUGGUGUUCACAUGAUUUAGGCUUGAAAUUCGGAUGAUAAU